rnacentral:rRNA from 1 species
AUACGGAGGGUGCAAGCGUUAUUCGGAAUCACUGGGCGUAAAGGACGCGUAGGCGGGUUGGCAAGUCAGAUGUGAAAUCCUACAGCUUAACUGUAGAACUGCAUUUGAAACUGCUAACCUAGAGUAUGGGAGGGGGAGAUGGAAUUAGUGGUGUAGGGGUAAAAUCCGUAGAUAUCACUAGGAAUACCGAAAGCGAAGGCGAUCUCCUGGAACAUAACUGACGCUAAGGCGUGAAAGCGUGCGGAGCAAACAGGAUUAGAAACCCUAGUAGUCC